AUUGAGCGCUGGCGGCAUGCCUUACACAUGCAAGUCGAACGGUAACAGGUCUUCGGAUGCUGACGAGUGGCGAACGGGUGAGUAAUACAUCGGAACGUGCCCGAUCGUGGGGGAUAACGAAGCGAAAGCUUUGCUAAUACCGCAUAAGAUCCAAGGAUGAAAGCAGGGGACCGCAAGGCCUUGCGCGAACGGAGCGGCCGAUGGCAGAUUAGGGAGUUGGUGGGAUAAAAGCUUACCAAGCCGACGAUCUGUAGCUGGUCUGAGAGGACGACCAGCACGACUGGGACUGAGACACGGCCCAGACUCCUACGGGAGGCAGCAGUGGGGAAUUUUGGACAAUGGGCGAAAGCCUGAUUCAGCCAUGCCGCGUGCAGGAUGAAGGCCUUCGGGUUGUAACCUGCUUUUGUACGGAACGAAAAGACUCUGGUUAAUACCUGGGGUCCAUGACGGUACCGUAAGAAUAAGCACCGGCUAACUACGUGCCAGCCGCCGCAGUAACAC
rnacentral:rRNA from 1 species